AUUGAACGCUGGCGGCAGGCCUAACACAUGCAAGUCGAACGGUAACAGGAAGCAGCUUGCUGCUUCGCUGACGAGUGGCGGACGGGUGAGUAAUGUCUGGGAAGCUGCCUGAUGGAGGGGGAUAACUACUGGAAACGGUAGCUAAUACCGCAUAAUGUCGCAAGACCAAAGAGGGGGACCUUCGGGCCUCUUGCCAUCGGAUGUGCCCAGAUGGGAUUAGCUUGUUGGUGGGGUAACGGCUCACCAAGGCGACGAUCCCUAGCUGGUCUGAGAGGAUGACCAGCCACACUGGAUCUGAGACACGGUCCAGACUCCUACGGGAGGCAGCAGUGGGGAAUAUUGCACAAUGGGCGCAAGCCUGAUGCAGCCAUGCCGCGUGUAUGAAGAAGGCCUUCGGGUUGUAAAGUACUUUCAGCGGGGAGGAAGGGAGUAAAGUUAAUACCUUUGCUCAUUGACGUUACCCGCAGAAGAAGCACCGGCUAACUCCGUG
rnacentral:rRNA from 1 species